rnacentral:sRNA from 4 species
UGUAUCUGAAGUCUGACGAGGAUGAGAACCUCCGGGGGCAAGAGGUUCGACCCGAGCGAAGCGAGAAAAUGUUGCGUCAGCAACGGCCCGCAGGGCGAGCCAUCCUCUAUCACCGGCAG